rnacentral:rRNA from 1 species
UCCCGCCUACGGGGCGCAGCAGUGAGGAAUAUUGGUCAAUGGGCUUACGCCUGAACCAGCCAAGUCGCGUGAGGGAAGACUGCCCUAUGGGUUGUAAACUUCUUUUAUAUGGGAAUAAAACAGGGUAUGCAUACCCUCUUGUAUGUACCAUAUGAAUAAGGAUCGGCUAACUCCGUGCCAGCAGCCGCGGUAAUACGGAGGAUCCGAGCGUUAUCCGGAUUUAUUGGGUUUAAAGGGAGCGUAGGUGGAUUGUUAAGUCAGUUGUGAAAGUUUGUGGCUCAACCGUAAAAUUGCAGUUGAAACUG